rnacentral:rRNA from 1 species
GACGAACGCUGGCGGCGUGCCUAAUACAUGCAAGUUGAGCGAUGAAGAUUGGUGCUUGCACCAAUUUGAAGAGCAGCGAACGGGUGAGUAACGCGUGGGGAAUCUGCCUUUGAGCGGGGGACAACAUUUGGAAACGAAUGCUAAUACCGCAUAAUAACUUUAAACAUAAGUUUUAAGUUUGAAAGAUGCAAUUGCAUCACUCAAAGAUGAUCCCGCGUUGUAUUAGCUAGUUGGUGAGGUAAAGGCUCACCAAGGCGAUGAUACAUAGCCGACCUGAGAGGGUGAUCGGCCACAUUGGGACUGAGACACGGCCCAAACUCCUACGGGAGGCAGCAGUAGGGAAUCUUCGGCAAUGGACGAAAGUCUGACCGAGCAACGCCGCGGGAGUGAAGAAGGGUUUCGGAUCGUAAAACUCUGUUGGUAGAGAAGAACGUUGGUGAGAGUGGAAAGCUCAUCAAGUGACGGUAACUACACAGAAAGGGACGGCUAACUACGUG